rnacentral:tRNA from 1 species
GGGUCGCUAGCUCAACUGGAUAGAGCAUUCGACUGAGUAGCGGGUCCGCUCUCCGCUUGCGCGGCGAUGGGUGCGCUUCCUUCUCCUAGUUGGAUCGAAGGGUUCGGGGUUCGAGUCCCCGGCGACCCA